GGUGCUUCUAACCAGGGAAAGGUAUAAGCAUGCCCCGUAAGGGGUUGUAGCAGGCCUAGGGGGCUGGAGAGGGCUUGUAGGCCCACUAAACGUAAGAUGAAUAGGUGUCCUCUGUGCCGACAGGAGUAGAGUGGGGCAGGUACCCAGACUACAGAUUCUGCCAGCCUUCCACCUCAGGGGUUCCCAGCCACCUAGACACUGGAUGAUUCAGUCAAAGACAGAAAUGUGAUUUGGGUCAAGUUCUUCAGUUGCGCCUAAGGAAAAGCUGGAGACCCGACCAGGAGGGCAGAAGCCACAUUAUCAUAUCAUCAGAUUCAGAAUGGCCUCAUGUCUGAGUCAUGCUGUUCCGUUGCCUAAGAGCACCUCCCACCACCCCUAAAUGUGCAGGGGCAGUUCCUUACCUUCUGCCAGCUAGAUAAUCUAGUUCCGGGAUUCUCCUAUUCCUGCUCAGCGAGCUCCUACUCAGUCAUCAAAACCCCAGGCCAAACUAGAGAAAUUGAAGCAGCUCCCCCCAUCCUCCUCCAUUACCAAGUUGCAUAUCUGUAGACCUUUCUUCCUUCUCUAGACCUUAGCAGGACAAUGGGGAUUUGGGCUUGCUUAUGGCCAUAGUUCCAAUGCUGAACAAAUGAUAAUUAACCAAAUGGCCCAGCAACUCAAGGGCAGUCUAUUCAGUGUGACUGACAGCCUGGUGGUAUUUCCUCAUUCCUCUCCUGUAAACCAGGGGUCGGCUUCUGCUCAGGGGACUGGGCAGUCCUGUUUGGCAAGGGUAGCCUAGAUUUUGAUGACCAGUCAUAAACAGAUUGGAAUUUAGUCCCGGUCAUUAGCAAGGACCCCUGGCUCUAUUAGAUGCAGGUCUCUCAGCCCUUCCCAAGCCACCUGACUUCCCUUGUCUCCCACGCUGACUGGAUUAGAGGUCUUCAGGGUGGGGUAGAGUGGGGAGGAAAUUAAGGUCAAGGAAUUCAGUGCUAGUAGCUCCUGGCUAUCCUAGGCCCUGUGGCUCGGCCCCAGGGAAGGUACAUGAGUGCAGUGAACCCUCAGGCAAUGGAUGCCCCCCCCUUCCUUCUGCAGGAGCUGGGCGAGAACACAGCAAAGCACACCCAAACCAGGGAAGCAACUGUAACUGUCCUUACUUCCUUAUAGCACGGAGCUCUCCCCACUCCCCAGCUCCUCUGUCACUAACUAUUGCUUUCUCCUUCUCCUUCUCCUUCUCCUUCUCCUUCUUCUUCUUCUUCAUUUUUAAAGUCUUAUUUUUAUUUAUGUAUAUGUGUGGGUAUAUGCCUAUGUGUAGGUAUGUGCACAUAAGUACAGGUGCCUGUAGAGGUCAAAAGGUAUUAGAUCCCCUGGAGCUAGAGUUACAGUACAGGCAAUAAAGAGCCAUUGUCUCACGUGGCUGCUAAGAACACUAUUCUCUAAAAGAUUCUUUAACUGCUCAGCCAUCUCUCAAACCCCGCAUCUUCCUCUCUCUCUCUCUCUCUCUCUCUCUCUCUCUCUCUCUCUCUCUCUCUCUUGAAAGUCUUAUGUAUCUUGGACUGGCCUCAAACUCACUAUGGAGCGUGAUAACCUUGAAUUUAUAGCCCUCUGCCUCCAUCUUUCCAAGUGCUGAGAUUACAGAUGUGUGUCACCAAACCUGGUGGUGCUAACAAUCAAACCUAGGGCCUUGUGCGCACUAGGCAAGCAUUCUGUUGGAUGAGCUUCAGUCUCCUAGUGCUAGGAUGACAGUCAGGCCCUGGACAGCAACUGCAUGAAGCUGAUAGUUUUGUCCUUUAAGAGGAUGACAGCAGGGUUGAAUGUGGUAGUGGAUAUCUUGAUCCCAGCACUCCUGGAGGCAGAGGCAGGCAGAUCUCUGAGUUUGAAGCCAGCCUGGUCAACACAGUGAGUUCUAGGACAGUCUGGACUACAGAGAUCUUGUCUCAAAAAACAGGGGGGGAGGGGAGGAGGAGGGAGGGAGGACAAUGUGGACAGAGGUCUGGUUUCUCCCAGCUCACAACUGUAGAGGGCUUCCCAUUCUAGACUAUUCCACUUGUAACCUCAUUUGGUCCCUUCACAAAGCUUCAAAGGAUACUCUUUCUUCAAAGGAUACUCUUUUUUCUACUUGAUCGAGAAGAAAUUGGAGCCACAGUGACUUGUCCAAGGUCAUCAGCACAGAGGAAAUUUGAACCUGUUCCAUUCGUCACAUUUCCCCCUAAAAUCUAACAAUACUUUCCGAUCUUCUCUGGGAGCAUUUGCCUAGGGAGGAGGCACACAAGCCAGUAGUGAUAAAAUUAAAAUUGUAAAUGGUGCAAGAAGGGGACAGGUACUCAUAAGCUCUGAGGGAGGGCGAGAGCGCUCAAAAGCUUGACUCUCAACCCCACUCCCCUUCUCCCAGUCAGCUGUUUUAGCUAAGCCCCUUCCCAUCUGCUCUGACUUCCAGGUGAUCCCACACACAGCCUUGUCCUCCUUAGGAAGUUGCCAGCCAGUUCUACCUGAACCUCCUGCCCAAGGCUGACAGACAGAAAGGAUGAGGGACAGAGGAAUGACAUUGGAGAGAUCACAGGACAGAAGAGAUGAGAGGUCAUAGAGUGGGGCUGGCAGACGAGUCUGGGCUCUAGAUGGUGCAGCGGUUAAGAGCCUAGGCCUCUAGGCCGGAAGCCUUGUGCUCCAAUUCUAGUCUGGGCUUGAGCUUGGUUGAUAUGAUCCCCUAGAAGAAUGGGGGAUGGGGGAGCUGGAGAGAUGGCUUAGGGGUUAAGAGCACUGGCUACUUACUCUUCCAGAGGACCACAGUUCAAUUCCUAACACCUAUGUAAUGGCUUACAACUCUUUCUAACUCCAGUUCCAAGGGAUCUGACACCUCCACAGGCACCAACCGCGCAUGCUAUGGGUGUUUCUCAGGCUGUGAGGUGUUCUCACUGAGGACCGCCGAGGCUAGCAGCCCCUGUAAGAGGCAACCAACAUGAGGGGUCAGCACAUACAUUCUUUCCCUUUUCCUCAAAGGUAGUGUUUCCCUCAGACAACAACCAGCUUCCUGCCUUUAGUUAGUCAGAGGAACGGAGGCAUGGUACUCACAGAGGCUAGCAAGGAGAGAGGGAUCAGCACCCUCCAGGGAUCACGGGGGGGGGGGGGGGGGUGAUCACUCCAGGGUAGGAGUUGGAAACCACACUAGAAGGCCUGAGGGAACAAAGACAAGAAAGAUCCCACCCAAUUCCUCCGGACAACGACCUUCCAGACAGGGUCGCUCUUUCAGGGUGGCAACCCGAAAGGUACACCCACUGUAAUUAUCUAGAAUGGUCCCAUCUUUUUUUUUUCCUCUAGGAUUCACUACCACCACCGUGCUGCGGAAGCUUGUUCCUCCUGCCAGCUUGUCCUAGCCUCAAGGGGACUCUAAGCCUCCACCCUCCCCUCUCCUUCCUGGACACGUGGUUUUAUUUUUAACCUGAGUUUACCGGCAGGAUCUGGAAAAGCCAGUUUGAGGCAGCUCCUAAUCUUUCUGCUUCCCUCCCCCACCUGAAGAGUACGUAGCUGGACCGUUCUGGGAGAGGCAGGGGGGCCUGGCCAGCAGGUCUGGGUAAAGGGCAGCCUGUUUGGCCUUGCCAGUUAGAGGACUGAACACUUCUGCCCGGCUCUUCUCUGACGCGCACCCUCCUGCUGGCCCCGGCUGCUCUAGUGGGGUGGGGUGGAGUCAGCCGAACCUUCUGGGCUUUUCUGAUGUAACCUCUCCAGCAGAGGCUGAUUGGCCCAGGGCCUCGUGUAUCACAGGAAGUCUCUGGGCAGAGUGGCCCAAUGCCCUGGUAUUUCAGGCCAGCCUCUGGCACUAGAGACAAGGCAGGCAAGGGCAGGCUACCCAAAAGGCAGAGGAUACACAGACCUAUGGUGCUGGAAGAAGAGAGGCAUCAGAGCAUUUGAAUUUCCUUUUUUUUUUUGGUUCUUUUUUUCCGGAGCUGGGGACCGAACCCAGGGCCUUGCGCUUCCUAGGUAAGCGCUCUACCACUGAGCUAACUCCCCAACCCCUUUUUUUUAAUUGGAUGGUUUUUUUUUCUUUCUUUUUUCUUUUUUUAAAAAUUUCAUUUAUUUUAUGUCUGUAUGUCUGUAUGUAUGUAUGUAUAAAUACACUGUAGCUGUCUUCGGACACACCAGAAGAAGGCAUCGGAUCCCCGUUACAGAUGGUUGUGAGCCACCAUGUGGUUGCUGGGAUUUGAACUCAAGACCUCUGGAAGAGCAGUCAGUGCUCCUAACCGCUGAGCCAUCUCUCCAGCCUUUUUUUUUUUUUUUCCCCCGGAGCUGGGGACCGAACCCAGGGCCUUGCGCUUGCUAGGCAAGCGCUCUACCACUGAGCUAAAUCCCCAACCCCUCUCCAGCCUUUUUUUUUUUUUUAAAUAGGCAAACUCUUAGUGCUUCAAAAAAUGUCGAGGAAGCACCCUCUUCCAUCCUGAGAGAUCAACGCCUGGAGGGCCAUCCCUGUGGUAUUUAAAGUUUAGGUGUUUCUGCUUUGAUUUUUGCCCUUGAAAGGAGGUGCAUCAAGACCUCUGGGCUAUCAGGAUGCUGAGAGUCUUAAUCCAUCUUGGAAAACUCAAGGCUAAUAAUGGGGGUGAGGACAAGAAGGAUAGAGGAGAGAGAAGCAUGUGGCCUGCCUUUAUCCCUUGGACUGGAGCUUUGGGGGAAGAGGAGUGCACUGAUCCCAUAUGGAACCUGGGGGUCCCUGAAAGCCUGUGGUCAGUGUUGGAUGACACAAGGGAUGGAUGGUACUGCGAUCCAGCAAGUGAGAAAAGGCCUUCUUCACCCUUUCUUCCUCCCCCUGCUCUACCAAUCUGAUCAUUGAUUUUCUCUGUUUGCUUGUUUGUUUGCUUUGAGACAGAGUCUCUCUAUGUAGCCCUGCCUGGAACUCACUGUGUAGAUCAGGCUGCCUCCUGAGUUCUGAGACUAAAGGUAUGUGCUGCUAUACCAGCCAUGUAUUAACUUCCUGCCUGCCUGCCUGCCUGCCUUCCUCCUCUUUUUCUUUUUGCUUUUGUUUUGAGAUGGAGUAAUAUAAUUUGGGCUGCCCUGGAACUAACAAGACCAGGCUGGCUUCAAUCUUAGAAAAAAAUCCACCUGCCUCUGCCGCCAGAGUCCUGGGAUUAAAAGUGUGCACCAUCACGCCAGCUUCUCUUUGUUAAUUUUUAUUUUAUGUGCAUGAGUAGUUUGCCUGCAAUCAUGUAUGUGUGCCACAUGCAUGCAGUGCCUGAAGAGACCAGAAGAGGGCGUCAGAGCCCCUGGAACUGGAGUUACAGACCACUGUGAACCACUAUACUUGGAGCUUGGAACCCAAACCCUGUCCUCUUGCUAGAGUAACAAGUACACUAAACCAUGAGUCAUCUCUCCAGCCUUCCCUAUUCCUGACCUCUUAUCCCUAUCCCUACACACACACAUACACACACACACACACACCCCACCCCAAACCAACAAACGAAAAGUCAUAGCUAAUCAUCAUUGUCAGCCACAGAUCCUAGACUGCAAUGAGUACCAACUUUACUUUUUUCUCCCGCCGUGUUGUAAGGAGGCAAUCUCGGCUCCAAAGGAAGACUCGACAGGCCUGAAGAGAUCUGUAGCUUGCUCAGAGCCAGAAUUCGAACUCAGACACCAACCAACACUUAUUUGUUGGAAGACGGCCCCUUGAAGUGUGUUGGAGGAAUGAGAGUGGGGGAGAGGAUUAGAGCGGAAGCAACUGUCUGGGCUGUGCACUCUCACUGUCUGCUGAGAGGGCCACCUCUGCCUUACUACCGGACUCCAGCCUUGUUCCAGGCCAUCAACCAGGGCAGGGCAGGAGGAGAUCCUGCGAAGAGGCCUCAGCAGCAGGUGGGACAGGAGUUGACAGAUUUGGAAGCCACAGGUCCUGACUAAGCUAGUUUCCAUCGACCUGGGCUUGACCUGAACCAUUCAGAACAAAGAAGGAAAUGGUGGAGAUUGCCUAAACAUCCCUCUUGCCCCGGAUUGCUAGAAGGCCGAAGCUGGAGGUGGGAGAAGCAGGUUCAGUCAUACUUCUGUCGGCACAGGAUGGGUGGAAUCUGAGGACAGGCGGGAGUCACAAGACUAGGGGCUGGUCCCUGGGGCUGACCUGGAGUGGAUAGUGUUGGCUUCCUGCCCCAGGGUGGUUUUGUCUCUCCCAGGUCUCUUUCCCAGAGCUGUCUGGGGGCCCAGCUGGGCAGAAGAGGCUUGGGACUGUCCUAUUAGGGGGCCUGGUGAAGAGAAGUACUGCUACCCCCUGCUGCUUUUCUGACUUCCUACCAACCCCCUUCCUCCUUCUACCUUGAAGAUGCUCCCAGCCACUGCCCUUUGUCACCCUGAAACUCUAUUUCCAGAACUCCACCCCAACCCCAACAGGAGUGAGUCUGUUGGCAACUCCCCAAGGAGCGAUCAGCUGCCGUCAGCUCUGAUCCAAGACUAGUAGUGCUCCAAGCUUAGACUCCAGGAAGACAAGAGGUUAGGGGUAGGGGAGCUCGUGGGAGGUAGUCACAUGGUAGUCUGGGCUGAGACCCAGGGGCAUUGAGUUAAUUCCUUCAGGUUCACAAGGCCAGCAUUCCACAGCCGCCUCUCCCAAGGCGCUGGCCAUCAGCACUUCAGGCACCAUCAGCCACCCAAACCUGUUCUCAGUUGUGGCCAGGCCUCCUGGGGCUGCUAGAGCUACAGGUGGUCCAGAGCCUGGGCCCUAGCAUGGGACUUCAAGUGCUCCUCACAACCAAAACACCUGGCUCCCUGGAAGAUGGGUGAGCUAGGCUGGGGAGCAGAACUAGGGGAGGGGGUCAGAAAGGAGUGAGGGUAGGCCUCGGGCGACAGGACCUACUAGGGAUGUUUUUCUGUCGAGAAUACUAGUCACGUCCAACCUCGAAGACGAGUCAUAAUAAUGGAGAGAUUACAUAUGACAAUGUUAUUCCACCACAGGUCUGAAGGUUACAUUAGAUUCUUUCUUGCCUGGUUUUCCUUUUGUUGUUCUUGACACAGGCUGUCACAUAACCCCUACUGGCUUCGAACUUUCUAUGGAACUGAGGCUGACCCUGAACUCCUGAUCCUCCUGCCUCCCAAGCGCUUAGGAUUCAAGCGUAUACUACCUCUCCUCGAUAGCCCUGUUGUAUAUUUUUAUUUUUAUUCAUUCAUUUGUUUAUAGUAUGUCUUUCCUGACUGUCAAUCUCAUCUAGUUCCUCGUGUAAGAAUCCUCAUAGUAAUAAUGACAGUUAACACUGAGGCAGAUAGACCCAAUUCACAAGCUAAUAAUCUUAGUUAAUAAAAUGUCAUACUUUU